UACGGAGGGUGCAAGCGUUAUCCGGAUUCACUGGGCGUAAAGGGCGCGUAGGCGGCUUGAUAAGCGUGCGGUGAAAGCCCGGGGCUCAACCCCGGGUCGGCCGUGCGAACUGUCGAGCUGGAGCACUGUAGAGGCAGGUGGAAUUCCGGGUGUGGCGGUGGAAUGCGUAGAGAUCCGGAAGAACACCGGUGGCGAAGGCGGCCUGCUGGGCAGUGGCUGACGCUGAGGCGCGACAGCGUGGGGAGCAAACAGG
rnacentral:rRNA from 1 species